UGCCAGCUCACUACAACCUCUGCUUCCCAGAUUCAAGUGAUUCCCCUGCCUCAGCCUCCUGAGUAGAUGGGACUACUGAUGGUUUCCUAGAAACAUGAUUGUUUACUGGCGUUGAUCUCACAGUCUGGUGAGGACUUCUUUACUGAUAAUGUCAAGUUCAGGUUAUCCUCCCAACCAAGGAGCAUUCAGCACAGAACAAAGUCGUUAUCCUCCUCACUCUGUAAAGUAUACGUUUCCCAGCACCCACCACCAGCAGGAUCCAGCAUUCGGAGGCAAACAUGAAGCUCCCUCCUCUCCAAUAUCAGGGCAACUAUGUGGAGAUGAUCAAAAUGCUUCACCUUCAAAACUUUCAAAGGAAGAGUUAAUACAGAGUAUGGAUCGUGUAGAUUGAGAAAUUGCAAAAGUAAAACAGCAGAUCCUUAAACUGAAAAAGAAACAAGUAAAAGUCUUUGUCUAAUAUAUUCUAAGAAUGUAUGUUUUUCUCCCUACAGAAGGUAUUUUUGAGUUUUCCAUAUUUUGAAACUUUACAUAAAAGGAAUCAUGCCUUA